UACGUAGGCAGCGAGCGUUGUUCGGAGUUACUGGGCGUAAAGGGUGUGUAGGCGGUGCUCUAAGUGUGGUGUGAAAUCUCCCGGCUCAACUGGGAGGGUGCGCUACGGACUGGAGUGCUCGAGUGCGGGAUGGGAGAGUGGAAUUCCUGGUGUAGCGGUGAAAUGCGUAGAUAUCAGGAGGAACACCGGUGGUGUAGACGGCUCUCUGGACCGCAACUGACGCUGAGACACGAAAGCGUGGGUAGCAAACAGG
rnacentral:rRNA from 1 species